AGAGCACUGAUUUUGAAGCCAAACUGCCCGGCUUUGUACCCUGACCCCACUCCUAAUUAGCUGUAUGCCCUCAAAUAAGUUAAGCUACUUAACCUGAUACUUCAAGCUCUUCAUCUGGUCAAAUUCAUUUCGAUUUCGCACCUGCUGAAGUGGAGAAAUGUUCGCCUUCGUUCCUCUGGGGUCUGCUUGCUUUUCCUGAGUUGGCUAGGACGCGACAUGGGAGUGCCCGGACGCCGGCAGAGAGUGGUUAACACGAAAGAGUAGUUAACCUGGUGUGAGGGUCCACUGGCCUAUUAGUUGUUUCCACAGAUGUCUGCUGAGAUCCUACUCUGACUUUGCUAACCUGGCAGUUUUGUAUCUGAGCACCCAUCAGUCCUCAAACAAAUUCCACAGAUGUCUCCUGUAACCUACUGAGUUUGAAAGGGCAAUUAUCAGUCAACUAAACUGAAAACAAACUUAAACCACCGAGGAAGAGCAGAUCUUUGUGUGAGUCAGAAGGACUUUGCUUUCAGAGUUAUGAAAGACUGUUCUCUCGUGUUACAUGUCUCCUAGAAGUGGCAAAACAAUCAUUGAAAAAAAUGUUUUAAAGUUAAAAUACUUUAAAAUAAAGCUUUGUACCACUUUUAAAUGGUAGAAUAAAAUAAUACAAAAUGGUGGAUUCCAACUUUAACUUACGGUCAGAUUACCUGAAAUUUGAAACUUCGGUGUGUGGUUCAGUGCCUCACUGCCGACCUGGUUGCCAGUGUCUGUUUCCCUCUCGGCCCACGCUGCCUCCU